rnacentral:rRNA from 1 species
AGUGAACGCUGGCGGUAGGCCUAACACAUGCAAGUCGAACGGCAGCACAGUAAGAGCUUGCUCUUACGGGUGGCGAGUGGCGGACGGGUGAGGAAUACAUCGGAAUCUACUUUUUCGUGGGGGAUAACGUAGGGAAACUUACGCUAAUACCGCAUACGACCUACGGGUGAAAGCAGGAGAUCUUCGGACCUUGAGCGAAUGAAUGAGCCGAUGUCGGAUUAGCUAGUUGGCGGGGUAAAGGCCCACCAAGGCGACGAUCCGUAGCUGGUCUGAGAGGAUGAUCAGCCACACUGGAACUAAGACGCGGUCCAAACUCCUACGGGAGGCAGCAGUGGGGAAUAUUGGACAAUGGGCGCAAGCCUGAUCCAGCCAUACCGCGUGGGUGAAGAAGGCCUUCGGUUUGUAAAGCCCUUUUGUUGGGAAAGAAAAGCAGCAGGUUAAUACCCCGCUGUUCUGACGGUACCCAAAGAAUAAGCACCGGCUAACUUCGUG